rnacentral:tRNA from 1 species
UCCCCUGUAGCUCAGUUGGUAGAGCGGGUGGCUGUUAACCACUAGGUCGUUAGUUCGAGUCUAACCGGGGGAGCUA